rnacentral:rRNA from 1 species
GAAACUACAAAUGAAUUGACGGGGCCCGCACAAGCGGUGGAGUAUGUGGUUUAAUUCGAUGCAACGCGAAGAACCUUACCUGGUCUUGACAUCCCGGAGACCCUUAGGAAACUAGGGGGUGCUUCCAUCUGGAAGAAUCUGGAGACAGGUGCUGCAUGGCUGUCGUCAGCUCGUGUCGUGAGAUGUUGGGUUAAGUCCCGCAACGAGCGCAACCCUUGCCUUUAGUUGCCAGCAGUUCGGCUGGGCACUCUAAAGGGACUGCCGGUGUUAAACCGGAGGAAGGUGGGGAUGACGUCAAGUCCUCAUGGCCUUUAUGACCAGGGCUACACACGUACUACAAUGGCCGAUACAAAGGGCAGCGACACUGCGAGGUGAAGCCAAUCCCGUAAAAUCGGUCUCAGUCCGGAUUGGAGUCUGCAACUCGACUCCAUGAAGUUGGAAUCGCUAGUAAUCGCGCAUCAGCCAUGGCGCGGUGAAUACGUUCCCGGGCCUU